rnacentral:pre_miRNA from 1 species
AGUAGCAUAGCUGGGUAAAAUGGGGGUUCCAUUUAAGUUUUCUAAGGAAUCUUCAUACUGCUUUCCAGAUUGGUUGCACCAAUUUACAGUCCUACCAGCAAU